rnacentral:rRNA from 1 species
GUGAGGAAUUUUCCGCAAUGGGCGAAAGCCUGACGGAGCAAUGCCGCGUGAAGGAUGAAGGCCUAUGGGUUGUAAACUUUUUUUCUCAGAAAAGAAUUAUGACGGUAUCUGAGGAAUAAGCAUCGGCUAACUCUGUGCCAGCAGCCGCGGUAAGACAGAGGAUGCAAGCGUUAUCCGGAAUGAUUGGGCGUAAAGCGUCUGUAGGUUGUUUAAAAAGUAUUCUGUCAAAGAUUAGGGCUUAACCCUAGAUAGGCAGAAUAAACUUUUAAGCUAGAGUUUGGUAGAGGCAGAGAGAAUUCCCGGUGGAGCGGUGAAAUGCGUAGAUAUCGGGAGGAACACCAAAGGCGAAGGCACUCUGCUGGGCCAAUACUAACACUGAGAGACGAAAGCGAGGGGAGCAAAUGGGAUUAGAUACCCCGGUAGUCC